rnacentral:rRNA from 1 species
GAUGAACGCUGGCGGCGUGCCUAAUACAUGCAAGUCGAGCGAACGGACGAGAAGCUUGCUUUUCUGAUGUUAGCGGCGGACGGGUGAGUAACACGUGGAUAACCUACCUAUAAGACUGGGAUAACUUCGGGAAACCGGAGCUAAUACCGGAUAAUAUUUUGAACCGCAUGGUUCAAAAGUGAAAGACGGUCUUGCUGUCACUUAUAGAUGGAUCCGCGCUGCAUUAGCUAGUUGGUAAGGUAACGGCUUACCAAGGCAACGAUGCAUAGCCGACCUGAGAGGGUGAUCGGCCACACUGGAACUGAGACACGGUCCAGACUCCUACGGGAGGCAGCAGUAGGGAAUCUUCCGCAAUGGGCGAAAGCCUGACGGAGCAACGCCGCGUGAGUGAUGAAGGUCUUCGGAUCGUAAAACUCUGUUAUUAGGGAAGAACAUAUGUGUAAGUAACUGUGCACAUCUUGACGGUACCUAAUCAGAAAGCCACGGCUAACUACGUGCCAGCAGCCGCGGCAAUACGUAGGUGGCAAGCGUUAUCCGGAAUUAUUGGGCGUAAAGCGCGCGUAGGCGGUUUUUUAAGUCUGAUGUGAAAGCCCACGGCUCAACCGUGGAGGGUCAUUGGAAACUGGAAAACUUGAGUGCAGAAGAGGAAAGUGGAAUUCCAUGUGUAGCGGUGAAAUGCGCAGAGAUAUGGAGGAACACCAGUGGCGAAGGCGACUUUCUGGUCUGUAACUGACGCUGAUGUGCGAAAGCGUGGGGAUCAAACAGGAUUAGAUACCCUGGUAGUCCACGCCGUAAACGAUGAGUGCUAAGUGUUAGGGGGUUUCCGCCCCUUAGUGCUGCAGCUAACGCAUUAAGCACUCCGCCUGGGGAGUACGACCGCAAGGUUGAAACUCAAAGGAAUUGACGGGGACCCGCACAAGCGGUGGAGCAUGUGGUUUAAUUCGAAGCAACGCGAAGAACCUUACCAAAUCUUGACAUCCUUUGACAACUCUAGAGAUAGAGCCUUCCCCUUCGGGGGACAAAGUGACAGGUGGUGCAUGGUUGUCGUCAGCUCGUGUCGUGAGAUGUUGGGUUAAGUCCCGCAACGAGCGCAACCCUUAAGCUUAGUUGCCAUCAUUAAGUUGGGCACUCUAAGUUGACUGCCGGUGACAAACCGGAGGAAGGUGGGGAUGACGUCAAAUCAUCAUGCCCCUUAUGAUUUGGGCUACACACGUGCUACAAUGGACAAUACAAAGGGCAGCGAAACCGCGAGGUCAAGCAAAUCCCAUAAAGUUGUUCUCAGUUCGGAUUGUAGUCUGCAACUCGACUACAUGAAGCUGGAAUCGCUAGUAAUCGUAGAUCAGCAUGCUACGGUGAAUACGUUCCCGGGUCU